rfam:Coprobacillus sp. 29_1 genomic scaffold supercont1.2, whole genome shotgun sequence.
ACAAUGGAGAGUUUGAUCCUGGCUCAGGAUGAACGCUGGCGGCGUGCCUAAUACAUGCAAGUCGAACGCACUGAUUUUAUCAGUGAGUGGCGAACGGGUGAGUAAUACAUAAGUAACCUGCCCUCAUGAGGGGGA